CUCAUGGAGAGUUUGAUCAUGGCUUAGGAUGAAUGCUGGUGGCAUGCUUAACACAUGCAAGUCGAAUGGGAAGUGGUGCUUCCAGUGGCGGAC
rnacentral:ncRNA from 1 species